rnacentral:rRNA from 1 species
UUCCGAUGGUGAACCUGCGGAAGGAUCAUUACCGAGUGAGGGCCCUCUGGGUCCAACCUCCCACCCGUGUUUAUCGUACCUUGUUGCUUCGGCGGGCCCGCCUCACGGCCGCCGGGGGGCAUCCGCCCCCGGGCCCGCGCCCGCCGAAGACACACAAACGAACUCUUGUCUGAAGAUUGCAGUCUGAGUACUUGACUAAAUCAGUUAAAACUUUCAACAACGGAUCUCUUGGUUCCGGCAUCGAUGAAGAACGCAGCGAAAUGCGAUAAGUAAUGUGAAUUGCAGAAUUCAGUGAAUCAUCGAGUCUUUGAACGCACAUUGCGCCCCCUGGUAUUCCGGGGGGCAUGCCUGUCCGAGCGUCAUUGCUGCCCUCAAGCACGGCUUGUGUGUUGGGCUCUCGCCCCCCGCUUCCGGGGGGCGGGCCCGAAAGGCAGCGGCGGCACCGCGUCCGGUCCUCGAGCGUAUGGGGCUUCGUCACCCGCUCUGUAGGCCCGGCCGGCGCCCGCCGGCGAACACCAUCAAUCUUAACCAGGUUGACCUCGGAUCAGGUAGGGAUACCCGCUGAACUUAAGCAUAUCAAUAAGCGGAGGA